AUAAGUACAUGGGAUGUGUCCAGUAAUGGGGGAUACUUAGGCGAAAGUUAGGCUAAUACCGCAUACGAUCUGAGAAUGAAAUCGGGGGAUGCAGCAUUAAAGGCUCAUGGCAGAGUACAGUCAAAGGCAAUCAAAGAGUUUUUGGUGCUGCACCUCGCGUUAUUGGAGCGGAUGAUGUAUGAUUAGCUAGUUGGUGAGGUAAUGGCUUACCAAGGCGACGAUCAUUAGAUGGUCUGAGAGGACGGCCAGCCACACUGGGAAUGAGAUCACGGUCCAGACUCCUACGGGAGGCAUCAGUGGGGAAUCUUGCGCAAUGGGCGAAAGCCUGACGCAGCGACGCCGCGUGGGGGACGAAGCCAUUCGGGGUGUAAACCCUUUUCGACCCGGACGAAGUCCCGCAAGGGACGGACGGUACGGGAUGAAGAAGACCCCGGCUAACUACGUGCCAGC
rnacentral:rRNA from 1 species